GCCUUUAGUCUUAGGUUCUGUUCCUUGCUUUGACUCUCCCAUAAUUUAUGUGCAAUCACAGAAAAAUCAUGUAUUGUUUCAGUUGCUUUGUCUUCAGAAAUACUUUUAAUUGCAUGGAACCAAUCAUUAGAGAUGAUAUAUACAGCAGGAGCUCCAAUCCGGCCUGGGGAGAAAGGCGCAACCCCAUCAGGUGUUUGUUCCAGUUCUUCUGGGAGCCAUUUCAUUAACCAUCCAUUCUAUGCUUCAUUAUAAGCUUUCUGAGUGCUGAUCCAUUCCUUAAAACAAUGCAACCAGUUUAAGAGAUCCACCUCCAGUUCCUUGGUAGCCUUUGCAAUUGUUUGGCUUUGGUGCUUCCAGUCUUUGCUGCGAGACUCUGGCUUUUGCGAUCAACGAUGGCUUGUAACUGCUUCCGAUGACAAUCCAGCAAAGAUUUCCACAUUUUAACCAGUCUGCACACAAAAAGGAUGAUAAUGAAAGCUCGGCAUUCUAUUUCAAAUAUCUUGUCCUUAUAGUACGAGAUACAACAGUUAAGUAUAAUCAAUAAAAAAAGAUCAUCUAAAGAAGCACAAAAUGUCGAAUC
rnacentral:lncRNA from 1 species